GGCGGUGUUUGGCACCUCGAUGUCGGCUCAUCACAUCCUGGGGCUGAAGUAGGUCCCAAGGGUAUGGCUGUUCGCCAUUUAAAGUGGUACGCGAGCUGGGUUUAGAACGUCGUGAGACAGUUCGGUCCCUAUCUGCCGUGGGCGCUGGAGAACUGAGGGGGGCUGCUCCUAGUACGAGAGGACCGGAGUGGACGCAUCACUGGUGUUCGGGUUGUCAUGCCAAUGGCACUGCCCGGUAGCUAAAUGCGGAAGAGAUAAGUGCUGAAAGCAUCUAAGCACGAAACUUGCC
rnacentral:rRNA from 1 species